GACGAACGCUGGCGGCGUGCUUAACACAUGCAAGUCGAACGGAAAGGCCCUGCUUUUGUGGGGUGCUCGAGUGGCGAACGGGUGAGUAACACGUGAGUAACCUGCCCUUGACUUUGGGAUAACUUCAGGAAACUGGGGCUAAUACCGGAUAGGAGCUCCUGCUGCAUGGUGGGGGUUGGAAAGUUUCGGCGGUUGGGGAUGGACUCGCGGCUUAUCAGCUUGUUGGUGGGGUAGUGGCUUACCAAGGCUUUGACGGGUAGCCGGCCUGAGAGGGUGACCGGCCACAUUGGGACUGAGAUACGGCCCAGACUCCUACGGGAGGCAGCAGUGGGGAAUAUUGCACAUGGGCGGAAGCCUGAUGCAGCAACGCCGCGUGCGGGAUGACGGCCUUCGGGUUGUAAACCGCUUUCGCCUGUGACGAAGCGUGAGUGACGGUAAUGGGUAAAGAAGCACCGGCUAACUACGUG
rnacentral:rRNA from 1 species